CCAAUGUGCCCUUAUCCCAUAGGUACCACACUGUGCCCUUAUCCCAUAGGUACCCACUGUGCCCUUAUCCCAUAGGUACCAAUGUGCCCUUAUCCCAUAGGUACCACACUGUGCCCUUAUCCCAUAGGACCCCAUACCAUCCCCUUAUCCCAUAGGACCCCAUACCAUCCCCUUAUCCCACAGGUCCCCAAACUGUCCCCUAUAUCCCAUAGGUCCCCACACUGUCCCCUAUAUCCCAUAGGGCCCCACACUGUGCCCUUAUCCCAUAGGUCCCCAUACUGUGCCCUUAUCCCAUAGGACCCCAUACCAUCCCCUAUAUCCCAUAGGGCCCCACACUGUGCCCUUAUCCCAUAGGUCCCCACACCGUCCCCUUAUCCCAUAGGUCCCCACACUGUCCCCUAUAUCCCACAGGUCCCCAAACUGUCCCCUAUAUCCCAUAGGUCCCCACACUGUCCCCUAUAUCCCAUAGGUCCCCACACCGAACCCUUAUCCCA
rnacentral:lncRNA from 1 species